UAUAGGUGUGUCGGGUGAAAUUAUCCCAUACAUGUUUACUGUUUGCUGUCUAUUUUAUUAAUACCAGGCACCGUGACAUGCAGGUUUUGCAAUCAUUACUGCAAAGAAAAGGAGUUCCCCGUGUAUACAUUAAGUUUCUGAUUAUUCAGGAAGUUUUGAUUUAUGGAUGCUUUAUACAUUCUUUUUUUUCCCUUGAAGUCUAAAUUAGCUGGAUUCAAAAAGUUGGAGACACUUCUAGGAAGGAAUGAUGGCCACAUACCAUAUUGUGUAUGGAUGUCUUCACCAGUUAGAUCUACGGGCAAAGCCACCAAGGCCGAUUUUAACUCUUUUAACCUAGCAUUAGAAAAAGGUUCGUCAGUCAAGCAGAACUUGCCUGGGAAGAAGACAUUGAAGAGGAAAGGCAGCACACAGGUAGAAGAGGCUGCCCUGACCAGGCACAAAAUAAAGAAAGGUUCAACUGAGGACCUCAGUACUGUUCCAAACCAGCAGAAGUCAGCCUGCAAUCUAAGUUCAGACAGUAAGGCUGCUGUUAAUAAGGGGAAACCCAAACUGAACACUAGCAAUAGCGGUUUUACGUACACUACACAAGCUAUAGUGUCGGAGGCUGAGCUUACAAACGGAUUAUCGAUCAAAGGAAAAGCCUUAGCUUCGGGAAGAACAGUCAGAAAAUCCUCGACGCGAUCUAGAAAUAGUUCUUUUUCUGACAAGUCCGACAGUUUUGCUGUGAGGGCUGAAAACCUUAACGACUUAUCUCAACUCCAACCCGCCAAGAGACAAACUCGCUUCAGCUCGGGAUCAUCAAGUGCUAGUUCAGUGUUUGGAAAUUUUGGAGGAGGAGGAGGGGGAGGAAGAACAGGUCGAAGGUCGUGUUCUAGUGCCAGUGAAAGUUCCAACUUUGGUGCAGGACAGAGUCAAAGCCAGGCUUCUUUGGGGUCUUCAUCCUCAGGCAGGGCACUGAGAUCUAAUCCCUCAGCCACCCUCAGUGAAGGCCUGCCUCCUCUUAGGAGGAGCACACGUAAUACAAAGAACACUCAGAGUAGUGGUCAGAAAGCACUGGGCAGUAGUGACUCCCCAGCUCUAACACCAAAGGAUAUCCCAUUGCCUGCAACUGGGGUGGACAGCUUAUUGAACCCAGGGAAGGCUAGUAAUAGGAAGAGACAAGCAUCGGGGGCAUUGUCACAGGAGCUGCACUCAGCAACUGCGAGUGCCGAGUCUGUGAACAGAAGUAGCAACAGUUGCAGUAAAAGUGCUUUGUCAACAACGACUGCAUCGUCAGCGGUUCAAAGGAAAAGUAAAAACGAGCCCUCAGCAGAGAAAAGGCCCAAAAUUGACAAUAAGAAGCACCAGAAAAGCAACAACCCCAGCACAUCUAAACAGAGAUCAGGAAGUAAGAGCCCUACUAGGAAGAAUAGUUCACAGAAGGGGGUUAGUGUUUGUCCAACUAGGAAGAAGAAAAACAUCAGUUCUAAGAACUCCAAUACUGAUAAUAAGAACAGCAGUGGGACUAAUUCCACGGCUUUUAAAGCUGCCAGAGGCAGUAAUAAAGGACUUGCUGCAGGAGAGAAGAAAAACAAACUACAGAAGUCCCCGUCCAAGCUUCCCAGCUUGAGGCGGAGCACACGCACUAAAAAGACGGGUUCGUGUGCCAGUAGCAAUAAUCGACGUUCCUCGUCAGUGACCAAGCGAGAGGGAGCCACCGGUGCACCAACCAGCAGUACUGGUCAAGGUGGAAGUGGAGGGACGUCGAAACCACAGACAGCAAUGGCCGACCAGAAUGGGGAAUCAUCAGGAACAGCCCCCCUGGGUCCUACAGAUGAGGCUGCACCAGGGGCAUCAGGAUUGCAGGCCUCCAGUUCUGCCCUGGGAGCCUCAGCAAUGGCCACAUCAGAGAGUGAGUCAGAGGAGGCAGACAUGGGCAGGCUGCAGGCCCUGCUGGAGGCCAGGGGGCUGCCCCCUCACUUGUUUGGUGCUCUAGGCUCCAGAAUGCACCAGCUGCUACACCGCUCCAUGAGUGGAGGAACAAUCACCAAAGCCCAGCAUUUGCUGCAGGGACUACAAGCCGUGGGAGAUGAAGGACAACAGUUAACUGCUGCCAUAGAAAUGUGUCAGUUACUGGUGAUGGGCAAUGAAGACACCCUGGCUGGCUUCCCUGUCAAACAAGUGGUCCCGGCCCUGAUCACCUUACUGCAGAUGGACCACAACUUUGACAUCAUGAACAAUUCCUGCCGUGCUCUCACAUACAUGAUGGAGGCACUGCCACGCUCCUCUGCGGUGGUGGUGGAUGCAGUGCCGGUCUUCCUGGAGAAGCUGCAGGUCAUUCAGUGCAUGGACGUGGCAGAGCAGGCGCUCACGGCCCUGGAGAUGUUGUCAAGGAGGCACAGCAAGAGUAUUCUGCAGGCGGGAGGAAUAGCUGCCUGCCUGAUGUUCUUGGACUUCUUCUCCAUCACAGCACAGAGGUGUGCACUGGCCAUCACUGCCAACUGCUGCCAGAACAUGAACUCUGAUGAAUUCCACUAUGUUAGGGAUUCUCUGCCCCUGCUCAGUGGCAGGCUGAGUCAUCAUGACAAGAAGUCAGUGGAGAGUGUGUGCCUGUGCUUUAGUCGCCUGGUGGAUAACUUCCAGACAGAUGAGAGGAUACUUAAAGAAAUAUCAGCACAUGGACUGCUGACUAACAUACUACAGCUGUUGGUGGUCACUCCCCCAGUGGUGAACACAGGGACAUUUGUGACAGUGCUGAGGAUGCUGGCAGUGAUGUGUGCCUCCUGCCCUGACCUGGCCGUGGUCUUGCUCAAAUCUAAUAUUGCUGAUACCUUAUGUUACUUACUGGUGGGCACUUCGGAGACUGCCUCACAGGGAGUAGAGUUGGUCACAAGAACACCACAGGAACUAUAUGAAAUAGUCUGUCUCAUUGGGGAGCUGAUGCCCAGCUUACCGAAUGAUGGCGUGUUUUCUGUGGACUCCCUGCUGAGGAAAGGCUGCACAACGAAUACAGACGCCGUCAUAUGGCAGUGGAGGGACGACAGAGGGAUAUGGCACCCUUACUCCCUGAUAGACAGCAGAAUUAUAGAGGCCUCCCAUCAGUCCGGGGAAGAUGAGGUCAGCCUGUCCACUAUGGGUAGGAACUACUCCAUAGAUUUCAACUCGAUGCAGCAGAUCAACGAAGACACGGGGACUUCACGCCCAGUACAGCGAAAACUGAAUCCACUUGCAGCUCACGGCUCUGCCGCAGCCAGCAACAACUGUGGCGUGGUUCGGAGUGAUUCGCGAGCAGAGAUCCUAAAGGAGGACAUGGAUCUUGCCUCCUCAUUCAUCAAGGCCUUGUUUGCAGUGCUGUACGAAGUCUACAGCUCAUCUGCUGGUCCAGCUGUACGCCACAAGUGCCUGCAGGCCAUCCUUAGAAUGGUGUACUACGCCACUCCAGAAUUGCUCAAAGAUGUCCUUCAGAACCAUGCUGUGUCAAGUCAUAUUGCCGCCAUGUUGGCGUCCCAGGACCUCAAAGUGGUGGUGGGAGCCAUGCAGAUGGCUGAAAUCCUGAUGCAGAAGCUGGCUAAUAUAUUUGGCAUUUAUUUUAGGAGAGAGGGCGUAAUGCAUCAAGUGAAGAGACUGGCGGACCCUGCCAACUGGGAGCCCUCCCCCCAGAAGUCCACAGAUUCCGCCAGCACCCCAGUGUCCCAGACCUCCAGGGAGGAACUGAGGGCAGCCGCCACCAGUGUCAGCAGCAGCCUGGGCAGCAGUCUGGAGAAGGUGGACCUGGAUAAUAACUCCACCACACCAAACACUGUGGCAGGGGGAGCCACUGCUGCUACGCCAGAGGCGGCAUUGGAUAGGAGUCCUGGGUCAUCACAGAUGAGGCUGAGUGAUGUGUUAAAGAGAAAGAAGCCCCCAAAGCGGUCAUCACGUAGUUCCCGCAGCAGCAGUAGUGGGAAGACAGAUGAAAGUCCAAGUGCUAUGGAAACUGUGUUUGCCAGACUGGGAGGUGGAGGAGGAGGGGGCAGUAAUAACAGACCCACUCCAUCCAGUAGAGGAAAAACAGGAAAAGACACCAGCAAGUCUGGAGGAGCCACACCAAAGAGUUCCUUUUUAGCCAACCUGAACCCAGCCAGGUGGGGGAGGGCCAGCACCAGUGCCACCCCAGAGAGACCUGUCUCUACAAGGAUCAUUGUCCACCAGCAGGAAACCUUCAUAGUGAAGUCCACCAGCAACCCUAACCUGGUGUCCAACAGGGAGAAGGUGAAGACCUGGAUCAGAGAACAAGCUGCCCGUUUCAUAGAGCAGUACUUCAGUGAUGAGACUCAGGGUAGCAGUCAUCCAGCCAUGGAUAUACUGAAAAGGUUGUCAGUGGCCACAGAACAGCUAGCUAAUCUGGAGGAGGAUGCAGGUCUGGAGUGUCUACAGGUGCUAUCUACUAUCAUGAAGGACAGCGAUGUGUCCCCCUUUGAGAUCAUCCACAGUGGGUUUGUGGGCAAGCUGCUCAAGUAUAUCUCCUUGGCACAUGGAGUGGUGUCCAGGGAAGUGAAGAUUAGGAGAUUUCUACACGUCUUCCUCAACUGUCCACCUCCAGAUGUCACCACUGUCUCCCAGGUUGAGUUCUCAGAAAACCCUCCCUUCUCUCCUCUGAUCAGCAAGUUAGUGGGCUGCCUACACCAGCUAGAGCAGUUCCAGGUCAAAGUUCAUGACCUCCCUGGAGGAGGUACUGGCAACAGCAGAGGAUCCAGUGCUAUCAAAUUCUUCAAUACUCACCAGCUCAAGUGUAACCUAGUUCGCCAUCCAGCCUGCACCAACCUGCGCCAGUGGCGUGGUGGUCCUGUGAAGAUUGACCCCCUGGCGCUAGUACAGGCAAUAGAGAGAUAUCUAGUCAUGAGGGGCUAUGGGAGGAUUAGACCUGAUGCUGAUGACGAAAACAGUGAUGAUGAGAACUCUGAUGACGACUUAGAUGACACCAGGGCGGCAGUGUUUUUAACCCAAGGCACUGGCAGACACAAGCUGGAGUUCCUGAUGGGAGACCGGGUACUGCCCUAUAACUGGACCGUGUACCAGGCUAUUAAACAGUAUGGAUCACUGGAAGGAAGGGACGGCAGUGAGACGGACACUGACACAGAAAAUCCUUUUGGACACGCUGGCAUAUGGGUGCAGACACAUACAAUAUGGUACAGGCCAGCGCCAGAAGAGGACACCAAUGCAUCUCAGCCUACUAGUCCAAAGAAAACCAAGGCAGAGGGGAAGAGUCACAAGGCCUCGCCCAAGGGGAAGAAGGGAGAUGACCUGUGGCUUGGUGGUCAGUGUCCUCCUGUAGUGUUACCCCUGGAUAGAUACCUGUCCCCCAGCCUCCCAGACAGUGUGCUGGUCCAGGACCCGUCCCUGGAGGUGCUGGCCCUGCUCAGAGUGCUACACGCCAUCAAUAUUUAUUGGGGGGCGCUCUAUGAGACCAGCAGUUAUGAUCCCCUAGUGUCCAGUCUGGAGUUCUCCAGUAGUAAACUGAUAGCCAAGGCCAACCGCCAGCUACAGGACCCUCUAGUAAUAAUGACAGGAAACCUCCCCCAGUGGCUGCCUGAGAUUGCUGCAGCAUGCCCUUUCCUCUUCCCCUUUGAUACGAGGCAGAUGUUAUUCUAUGCAACGGCGUUUGAUCGUGAUCGUGCCAUGAUGCGCCUGCAAGACGCCACUCAGGACGCUGCAAACAAUGACACCAGUGAGAGAGUGGCACCUAGAUUAGACAGGAGGAAACGUGUUGUCUCUCGUGAUGAUCUCUUGAAGCAAGCAGAGAAGGUGAUGGAAGAAAUGGGCAAUAGUAAAGCACUGCUGGAAAUACAGUAUGAAAACGAGGUAGGAACUGGUCUAGGUCCCACCCUGGAGUUCUAUUCUUUAGUCUCCAGGGAACUGCGAAGGUCUGACCUAGACAUCUGGCGGGGAGAGGCCACCAAACUUAAAGAUUCUAGUGGUUGUGAUGAAGAGACCCUGUACAUGCAUUCCCCAUGUGGGUUGUUUGUUGCCCCUCUACCAAGAAGUGCCAAAGCUAGUCUGGUGACUAAAGUGAAAAAUAAGUUCAAAUUCCUUGGGAAAUUCAUGGCCAAGGCUCUCAUGGACUCUAGAAUGGUUGAUAUCCCACUGAGCCUGGUGUUCUACAAGUGGCUGCUGAACCAGGAGCAGAGUCUGGAUCACAGGGACUUACAGCACGUGGACACUGUCCUGUACAAGUCAUUCCAACAAAUGCAUCAUAUCGUCCGACAGAAGAAAAGGAUAGAGAGUGAUAAAUCUCAUACUCCAGAGAGCCGCCAGCUGGCCCUGAACAACCUUACCAUAGAUGGCUGCUCUAUAGAGGACCUCAGCCUGGACUUCAUACUGCCGGGGUAUGCCAACAUUGAGCUCAAGAAAGGAGGCAAGGACACUGCGGUCACUCUGGACAAUUUAGAGGAAUAUCUCAAUCUGGUGGUUCACUGGACAUUAGUGGAGGGGGUGUAUAGGCAGUUUGAGGCACUGAGGGAGGGCUUUGAGUCUGUCUUUCCACUGAGGCAUUUACAGAGUUUUUAUCCACAUGAGCUGGAGCAGCUGUUCUGUGGCAGUAGCCAGGAAUUGUGGGAGAUGAAGAGCCUGAUGGAGUGCUGUCGCCCAGACCACGGCUACUCUCAUGACAGCAGGGCCGUGAAAAACCUGUUUGAGAUCCUCAGCUCUUACACCACAGAGGAACAGAGGAGCUUCCUGCAGUUUGUUACUGGCUCUCCAAGGUUACCCGUGGGAGGUUUCAAGAGUCUGUCUCCACCUCUGACAAUCGUCAGGAAGACCUUCGAGCCAAACGAGAGUCCUGACCACUUCCUGCCUUCUGUGAUGACGUGUGUCAACUAUCUCAAGCUACCGGACUAUUCCAGUAUCGAGGUGAUGAGGGAGAAACUGAGGAUAGCUGCUCAGGAGGGACAGCUGUCUUUUCAUCUUUCAUAGCACUGGGUCUGAUAUGGCAGAGUGUAGGCCAUGGCUUUACUGAGGUUUCUUAUUUGCAUCAAAGAAGAACAUAAUGGUUAGAGAGAGAUACGUGGAAUGCAAAUAGCAAGAUCAAAAGGAAAUGGCCUUUUUUGGUUGCUACAUCAAAUGUUGUAUCAUAGUGAAAUGGAUAGUUUUAGCACCAGCAUGGGCAAGAAGGUGAAAAAGCCAAAUUGUCACCCCACAAGAGAAAAGCUUCCGGGUAGAAAUAAACCCAAUUCAAAAGUGCUAGAAGUUUGGAUGUCACUUCGGGGAUUUGGAAUGUUAUUAACUCAAAGUUUGGAUUCGAAAUUCAGUUGGGAUAAUGUGCUACUUAGAACUGGCCAUUAGAGAUGCUAUUCAAGUGUAAGACAGCAUUUGACAUGUGAGCAUCAGAGACCACAGACACAUUGACAUCGAGGCUUUUCCACUGCAAUACAUUGUUCUGCCACACUGGAAGUGGUUUUUCAGAAAUUCCCGUGACAAGGGGAAUUCUGAUUCAGUUCUGUUGCUUAACUUAAGAAUGAAAAGUGACAAGGAAGCUUUUGAUACAAUAAAAGACAAAAAUUUCAGGAUGUUUUAGCCUUUUUAAUUUUACCAUUUAUUUUCAAAACAGGUGAGAAACGUGGAGCAAAUGUGGAACAGAACUGUUAUUUGACCUGUAUGUGCUCUAUUUAAGCUAAAUCGGCUGCAUGAUACACAGCGAGUGAAAACUUGAGCACAGGAUGGACUGUCAAAAUGUACCAGGGUGAAAAAUAGUGCAGAAGCAUCUUGUUUGUACUUGUUACAAUAUGCUCUGAACUUUGGUAUUGUUAAAUUUACAUUUUACGUGUCGUAACAGGUCACAUUGAAAAAGGCAAAUAGAGACAAUAUUGUGGAUUUACAAAGGAAAAAAUGAUGUGCCACGAAUCAGGAGUUGGUAUACUUGUAAGUCAUGUUGAAAAA
rnacentral:misc_RNA from 1 species